AAACUCAAAGGAAUUGACGGGGACCCGCACAAGCGGUGGAGCAUGUGGUUUAAUUCGAAGCAACGCGAAGAACCUUACCAAGUCUUGACAUCUUACUGACCGGUCCGUAAUGGGGCCUUUCCUUCGGGACAGUAAAGACAGGUGGUGCAUGGUUGUCGUCAGCUCGUGUCGUGAGAUGUUGGGUUAAGUCCCGCAACGGGCGCAACCCUUAUCCUUAGUAGCCAGCAAGUUAAGUUGGGCACUCUAGGGAGACUGCCAGGGAUAACCUGGAGGAAGGUGGGGACGUCGUCAAAUCAUCAUGCCCCUUAUGAUUUGGGCUACACACGUGCUACAAUGGCGUAAACAAAGGGAGGCGAAGCCGUGAGGUGAAGCAAAUCCCAAAAAUAACGUCUCAGUUCGGAUUGUAGUCUGCAACUCGACUACAUGAAGCUGGAAUCGCUAGUAAUCGCGAAUCAGAAUGUCGCGGUGAAUACGUUCCCGGGUCUUGUACACACCGCCCGUC
rnacentral:rRNA from 1 species